AUGAGGAUAGAUUUGCGGAAUGACAUGUACCAAGUUAUUGAGUUGGCAAAUGGAAAAGAAGGAACACCUCGUUUAGGAAAAUCAAAGAACGGUGUGUAUUGCGCAUUACGCCACGGACGAUGCACAUUUGAGGUUUGGUUCCUUAAUGAAUCACAUGGUCGGAUGGAGUGGGUGUUCAAGAAUAAGGUCAACCUUCAGCCUAUAAGAGGAGAUUUUCGCAAGAAUCAAACCGACGAACAAUGGAUCGAAAAAUCAUGUGAUCCACUAAAGCAGGAUGAGUCAAAGACUAACAUCAACCUUGAGCCCGUAGAUGACAACAACCAAGCACCGGUGGAAGAUGCUUAUGAUUGGAGCUCCGACAAUGAAAAUGCUAUUGACACCGUAGAUUGGCCUGGAGGUUGCAACUUCAAUGCCUACAUUGGUCCUACUUUUGAGUGUCUUGGAUUUCACCCCUACAAAGAAAUUGUCUUGUUCAAUAACAGCAAGAGAACACUAGCCUAUCAUUUAAAAAGCUCAAAGGUUCGGCAUUUGGGCAAGAUGGUAGUCAAUGGCCUGAAUAUGGAAAUGGAAGAGUCUUUUCCAUACGCUCCAUGUUGGGUGAGGAACUUACCUGGA
rnacentral:rRNA from 1 species